rnacentral:rRNA from 1 species
CCUACGGGUGGCAGCAGUGAGGAAUAUUGGUCAAUGGGCGAGAGCCUGAACCAGCAAAGUAGCGUGAAGGAUGACUGCCCUACGGGUUGUAAACUUCUUUUAUAUAGGAAUAAAGUGAGGCACGUGUGGCUUUUUGUAUGUACUAUAUGAAUAAGGAUCGGCUAACUCCGUGCCAGCAGCCGCGGUAAUACGGAGGAUCCGAGCGUUAUCCGGAUUUAUUGGGGUUAAAGGGAGCGUAGGUGGGUUGUUAAGUCAGUUGUGAAAGUUUGCGGCUCAACCGUAAAAUUGCAGUUGAGACUGGCAGUCUUGAGUACAGUAGAGGUAGGCGGAAUUCGUGGUGUAGCGGUGAAAUGCAUAGAUAUCACGCAGAACACCGAUUGCGAAGGCAUCUCACGAGACCGCAACUGACGCUGAUGCACGAAAGCGUGGGUAUCAAACAGGAUUAGAUACCCUUGUAGUC